AGGCAGUGGUCAUUGAAGAAACCAGGGGAGAUUAAAAAGUUCAUAGAAACAAAUGAAUAUGGAAACAGAAUUUAUGAGAACCCUUGGGACACAUCAAAAGCAGGUUUAAGAGGGAGGCUUAUAGUUAUAAGUGCCUACACUGGAAAAAUAGAUCUCCAGUAAAUAACAUAAUGAUGUAUGUCAAGGAUUAGAAAAACAAGGAGAAACCCAAUUCCAAAGUGAGCAUAAGAAAAAAAUAAUAAAGACCAGGAAGAACUUAAAUCGAGAUUGAAAGCAGAGAAUGAAGGAUCAAUGCAAUAAAGGGUUACUUCUCUGAACAAAUAGAGAAAAUUGGGGAACCUUAGCUAAACUAACCAAAAGAAAGGGGGUACCCAAAUAUACUGCAUCAGACAUAAGUAAGGUGUCAGGAGCUAGAAGGAAAUUCUCCUUCAAAGAACACCCUGACAUUUACAAGAAACAGCCCCCUGAGAGACAUCCUGCCUGGGAGACAUCCUGCAGCUACCUAUCUUCCUGAAACAUCCUGCGGUUAUCUCACCUUGUGCAGACAUCCAGCAAAUGCCAAUAAGAGAGCUUCCCCAUCCCCAGCAUAUAAAUACCUGUGUGUGCAGCUUGAUCAGAACUCCUGUCUUGCUGUCAUCCCUCGUGUCUCUUGUCCCUUCAUUCCUCCCCGCCUAGGUUCGAGGCCCUCGUUGAUGUCCUGCUGGUCGGGACAGUAAGGCAUAUUACAACAGAUACCACUGAAUUCUGGAAUGUUUUAGAAAUAUUAUAUGUCCACAGAUUGGAUAAUGUGGAAAGUUCUAGGCAUACAACCUACCAAAGUGGAACCAAGAGAUUGUAAGAAGCCUAAAUAUAUCAAAUAAAAAGCAAUGAUGUUGUUGGAAGUAAUAAAAGCAGAUAGACUCACCACCCAAUUUCCCAGAUUUUAAAAGAAGUACUAAUACCAAUUAUCUUAAAACUAUUCCACUAAGAGGAAAGGAAGGAAUGCUUUCAAACUCUAUGAAGCUAGUAUUACUCUCUCACCAAUUGUGAGGGACUGUGUGCACAUAAAAACAUGCACACACUAUAAACCAAACCAAUAUUCUCGAGGAACACAGAGGCCACUAUUCUCAAUAUAAUACUUAUAUAUCCAAUUCCACAUGACAUUAAAAAAAUCAUGUACCAUGAACAAGUUCACUUCAAUUCAGGGACAUAAGUUUGGUUAACCUUGGCAAAUCAAUAAAUGUAAUACACCACAUAAAUUGAAUCAAAGGUGAAAAUCCUAGAUUAUUUCAGUAAUGCAGUAAAACCCUUCAAUAAAAUUCUGCAUAAAUUCAUGAUAAAAACCCUAUAAAACCUAGUUACAGAAGGGUUAUAUCUUAACAUAAUAAGGGCUAUCUAUAAUAAACCCAUCGCCAAUGUUGUUGUGGAUGAGAAAAAAACUGAAAGCACAUCCUUACUAUGGGAUAACCCUAGGUGUCCUUCAGCAGAUGAAUGAAUAAAGACUGUGGCAUAUAUACACAAUUACUAAGCCAUAAAGAAUGACAUUUUGGCAUUUGACAGUAAAUGGAUGGAACUGGAGAAUAUCAUUCUCAAUUAUAGAAGCCCCAAAUGUCAAAGCUUGAAUAUUUUCUCUGAUAUGCAGAAGUUGAUACAAAAUAAGGGGGUGGGGAGA
rnacentral:lncRNA from 1 species